GCUCGCGCUGGCUGCCUAACUAGCAGUCUUUAGUGCGCGGUCCCCCUGCUCUCGGUCCGUGGGGUAGGGAUGGGCCGUCAUAAUGCGGACUGGUCGCCAAGGGUGCCUGGGCCCGAGGUGACGAGAUCUUUCCAGGACCGGCAUCAGGGAUCCCGUCCGUGGGAGCCCUGGUGACGUAGCAAAUCGCGGACUACGCACGUAGGGUCGAAGAGCCGACGGCUUUCGGACGAGGGUUCGAUUCCCUCCGCCUCCACUU
rnacentral:tmRNA from 1 species